AAAUUGAAGAGUUUGAUCAUGGCUCAGAUUGAACGCUGGCGGCAGGCCUAACACAUGCAAGUCGAACGGUAACAGGAAGCAGCUUGCUGCUUCGCUGCCGAGUGGCGGUGGGGGGGGGAAGGGGUGGGAAACUGCCUGAUGGAGGGGGAGAACUA
rnacentral:rRNA from 1 species